UAAUACGGGUAGGGGGCAAGUCGUUGUCCGGAUUUAUUGGGCGUAAAGAGCGUGUAGGCGGCCAUGUAGGUCCGUUGUGAAAACUCGAGGCUCAACCUCGAGACGCCGAUGGAAACCAUGUGGCUAGAGUCCGGAAGAGGAGAGUGGAAUUCCUGGUGUAGCGGUGAAAUGCGCAGAUAUCAGGAAGAACACCCGUGGCUAAGGCGGCUCUCUAGUACGGUACUGACGCUGAGACGCGAAAGCGUGGGAAGCAAACAGG
rnacentral:rRNA from 1 species